rnacentral:ncRNA from 2 species
CUAUAAUAAAAUCGAUAUGGUUGUCCGCGGGGAAAUCCCCGUCCGGGCAUGAAAAGGGAAUGCGGUGACGAAUCCGCAGCAGCCCCCGCUACUGUGAGAACGGAUGAAAGCCGAACGCGCCACUGAGCAAUCGGGAAGGCCGGCGAGUAAAGAGAUGUUCAAGCCAGGAGACCUGCCAUAUCCGAAGAAAAUGC